rnacentral:lncRNA from 1 species
GUCCAUGUGGGAACACCACGAUAAGCUGCCUUUGGUUCAACGACUCUCAUUGUUAGGGCGGAGACAAGACCAUCUCGUCAUUAUAUACAGUAUCUCUGGUAAAGUUGUUUUUUUUCCCCCCGUGACUUGACUCGUUGAAUUUGUAAAUUCAUUUGGACAGCUUAAAUUUUAGACACAGCAAAAAAUAAAACACAUUUCGAGUAUUUUGUUUUUGAAGAUAUAAAGGACCGAUCACAGUUAUGAGGCUAUACGCGUUGCACUUUACAAGAAUGUAUUUAUCGUGUGUGUGUGUUCGUGAUUUGUGUGUCUAUCUGUGUCUGUAUCUCAUCUCGGGGAUGGAGGGGGAGAGUCCUUGAAUAGCUUGCUGAUAUCAAUGUCAGAGUCUUUCAUAUGAGGAUGGAUGUCCAUAUCGAUGCCACUGUCCUUACACUGCUGGAGCAGAGUUCUGAUGUUACUCUCAGAGAGACGGAGCCCUAGGAUAAUUCCUCAGGACUACCUGGCUUGAUGACUCCUGGCUGUCCCCAGUCCACCUGGCUGUGCUGCUGCUCCAGUUUCAACUGUUCUGCCUGUGGCUAGGGAACCCUGACCUGUUCACCGGACGUGCUACCUUGUCCCGGACCUGCUGUUUUCUACUCUCUCUCUCUCUACCGCACCUUCUGUCUCGACCUCUUAAUGCUCGGCUAUGAAAAGCCAACUGACAUUUACUCCUGAGGUACUAACCUGUUGCACCCUCUACAACCACUGUGAUCAUCUUGAAGAACAAUCUGGCCUUAAAUGGCCAUGUACUCUUAUAAGCUCCACCUCUCACAGCCAGAAGAGGACUUGUCACCCCUCAGAGCCUGGUUCCUCUCUAGGUUUCUUCCUAGGUUCCUGCCUUUCUAGGGAGUUUUUCCUAGCCACCAUGCUUUUACAUCUGCAUUGCUUGCUGUUUGGGGUUUAGGCUGGGUUUCUGUAUAGCACUUUGUGACAUCUGCUGAUUUAAAAAGGGCUUUAUAAAUACAUUUGAUUGAUUGAUUGAUUGAUUGAUUGUAGCGUCAUACCAAGAUUUGAGUCUGUAAUCGCUGCCAAAGGUGCUUUCCUGGAUAUUACGAAAGGUGUCCCGAAGGGGUCGUACUUUUUACUGUUAACAUUAAUAACAAUAUCGACUUGUCUGUAAAAAUGUUUUACCUGCACUUGUAUGCCGAUGAUACUGUUGUGUAUGCUAUUGCCCCCACAGUUGACCAGGCUCUAUCUGAACUACAGUCUGCCUUCAUUGUAUUACAGAAACACUUUAUUGACAUGAAAUUAGUACUGAAUGCAGGUAGAACAAAGUAUAUUUUGUUCAAUAAAGCGCAUAAAAAUUGUAUUGGUGGUAGCCAUAUUGAUCGUGUCCGUGCUUUUAAAUAUCCGGGCAUCUGGAUAGAUGAAAAUCUGUCCUUUGAAAAGCAUAUUGAUGAGUUAAGAAGCUGAGAAUACAAAUGGCCUUCUUCUAUAGAAAUAGGUCCUGCCCCUCGCUAAAUAGUAAAAUGCAGAUUAUUCAGUCGACGUUCAUAUCGGUCCAAGACUAUCAUCUAAAUGAAUGCACCUGCCACUUCAUUAAAGCCAUUAGAUGUAGUUUAUCAUAGUGCACUGCGCUUUAUUACAGGUGACAAUUUUAGUACUCAUCACAACAUUCUCUUGCAGAAAGUUGGUUGGCCCUCUUUGAUGUCACGUAGGUUGAUACAUUACUAUGUUUUCAUUUGUGAAGCCCUUUUACAAAAAGUUCCACUGUACCUAACAUCAUUACUAAACUUUAGACAUACGACUUACCACACCUGGUCUCAGGUAUAGUUAACUCUGGAAAUUAUUUUGGUCUCCACUGAGUUAGAUAAAUCAGCUUUUAGUUUUCUUGCACCUUAUUUGUGGAACAAUCGUUGACAUGUUCUUAAAUUUGAUGUUCUCAUGCAUCUAGGGAAAUUCAGAAAGCUGAUUGAGAACUUUAUUAAUGAUGAAUGUGUUUUUUUUAUGAUCGUGUUUUUCUUUCGGCUUGCAUUUUGUAUUUAUAUUUUGAAGUGUGUAUUUUCUGUAAUUUAUGUAAUUCAGGGCUAAUCUGUAAAGGAGACCUUGGUAUGACCUCAGUAUGACUCCCUGAUCAAAUAAAGGUUAAAAAAUAAAAAUUUACUUAACAUCAAAUUUCCAUAAUUUCUAUCCCAUGUGAUCAAAGGUGUGAUCAUUGAAGAUACAGUGCAUUUGAAAAGUAUUCAGACCCCUUCACUUUUUCCACAUUUUGUUACGUUGCAACCUUAAAUAUUUCCCCCCCCUUCAAGCUACACACAACACCCCAUAAUGACAGAGCUAAAACAGGUUUUUAGAAUUUUUGGAAAUUUAUAAAACAAAACAAAACUGAAAUAUUACAUUUAUAUAAGUAUUCAGACCCUUUACUCAGUACUGUGUUGAAGCACCUUUGGCAGCAAUUACAACCUUGAGUCUUCUUGGGUAUGACACUACAAGCUUGGCACACCUGUAUUUGGGGAGUUUCUCCCAUUCUUCUCUGCAAAUCCUCUCAAGCUCCGUCAGGUUGGAUGGGAACCUUCAC